rnacentral:rRNA from 1 species
GAUGAACGCUGGCGGCGUGCUUAACACAUGCAAGUCGAACGGGAAACCUUUUAUUGAAGCUUCGGCAGAUUUAGCUGGUUUCUAGUGGCGGACGGGUGAGUAACGCGUGGGUAACCUGCCUUAUACAGGGGGAUAACAACCAGAAAUGGUUGCUAAUACCGCAUAAGCGCACAGGACCGCAUGGUCCGGUGUGAAAAACUCCGGUGGUAUAAGAUGGACCCGCGUUGGAUUAGCUAGUUGGCAGGGUAACGGCCUACCAAGGCGACGAUCCAUAGCCGGCCUGAGAGGGUGAACGGCCACAUUGGGAGUGAGACACGGCCCAGACUCCUACGGGAGGCAGCAGUGGGGAAUAUUGCACAAUGGGGGAAACCCUGAUGCAGCGACGCCGCGUGAAGGAAGAAGUAUCUCGGUAUGUAAACUUCUAUCAGCAGGGAAGAUAGUGACGGUACCUGACUAAGGAGCCCCGGCUAAGUACGUG